GACGAACGCUGGCGGCGUGCUUAACACAUGCAAGUCGAACGGAAAGGCCCUGCUUUUGUGGGGUGCUCGAGUGGCGAACGGGUGAGUAACACGUGAGUAACCUGCCCUUGACUUUGGGAUAACUUCAGGAAACUGGGGCUAAUACCGGAUAGGAGCUCCUGCUGCAUGGUGGGGGUUGGAAAGUUUCGGCGGUUGGGGAUGGACUCGCGGCUUAUCAGCUUGUUGGUGGGGUGGUGGCUUAUCAAGGCUUUGACGGGUAGCCGGCCUGAGAGGGUGACCGGCCACAUUGGGACUGAGAUACGGCCCAGACUCCUACGGGAGGCAGCAGUGGGGAAUAUUGCACAAUGGGCGGAAGCCUGAUGCAGCAACGCCGCGUGCGGGAUGACGGCCUUCGGGUUGUAAACCGCUUUCGCCUGUGACGAAGCGUGAGUGACGGUAAUGGGUAAAGAAGCACCGGCUAACUACGUG
rnacentral:rRNA from 1 species